AACCAAAGGGGGCGAGCGUAAGCAGCUCUCACCGAAGGAGGAGCCUGCGUCCAAUUAGCUAGUUGGUGGGGUAAUGGCCUACCAAGGCGACGAUCGGUGGCCGGCCUGAGAGGGCGAUCGGCCACACUGGAACUGAGACACGGUCCAGACUCCUACGGGAGGCAGCAGUGGGGAAUAUUGCGCAAUGGGCGAAAGCCUGACGCAGCGACGCCGCGUGGGUGAUGAAGGCCUUCGGGUCGUAAAGCCCUGUCUGGUGGAACGAAACGCCUGGCGGCCAAUACCCGCUGGGUUUGACGGUACCACCGAAGGAAGCCCCGGCUAACUACGUGCCAGCAGCCGCGGUAAGACGUAGGGGGCGAGCGUUGUUCGGAUUUACUGGGCGUAAAGCGCGCGUAGGCGGCCAGAUAAGUCGGGUGUGAAAGCCCUCGGCUCAACCGAGGUUCCGCAUCCGAUACUGCUUGGCUGGAGUCUAGGAGAGGAGAGCGGAAUUCCCAGUGUAGCGGUGAAAUGCGUAGAUAUUGGGAGGAACACCCGUGGCGAAGGCGGCUCUCUGGACUAGUACUGACGCUGAGGCGCGAAAGCUAGGGGAGCGAACGGGAUUAGAUACCCCGGUAGUCCUAGCCGUAAACGAUGGGCACUAGGUGUGGGAGGUAUUGACCCCUUCCGCGCCGAAGCUAACGCAUUAAGUGCCCCGCCUGGGGAGUACGGCCGCAAGGCUAAAACUCAAAGGAAUUGACGGGGGCCCGCACAAGCGGUGGAGCAUGUGGUUCAAUUCGACGCAACGCGAAGAACCUUACCAGGGCUUGACAUCCCACGAACCUGCCUGAAAGGGCGGGGUGCCCGCAAGGGAGCGCGGAGA
rnacentral:rRNA from 1 species